rnacentral:tRNA from 1 species
GUGAAUAUAGCUCAGUGGUAGAGCACAUGCUUAGCAUGCAUAAGGUCCUGGGUUCAAUUCCCCGUACCUCCA